AGGACGAACGCUGGCGGCGUGCCUAAUACAUGCAAGUCGAACGCACUGACGUCGACAGAAGGUGCUUGCACUGGAAGUUGAUUGACGUGAGUGGCGGACGGGUGAGUAACACGUGGGUAACCUGCCCUUAAGCGGGGGAUAACAUUUGGAAACAGAUGCUAAUACCGCAUAAAAGUUGAGAUCACAUGGUCUUAAUUUGAAAGACGGCCUUUGGCUGUCACUUAAGGAUGGACCCGCGGCAUAUUAGCUAGUUGGUGAGAUAAUAGCCCACCAAGGCGAUGAUACGUAGCCGACCUGAGAGGGUAAUCGGCCACAUUGGGACUGAGACACGGCCCAAACUCCUACGGGAGGCAGCAGUAGGGAAUCUUCCACAAUGGACGAAAGUCUGAUGGAGCAACGCCGCGUGAGUGAAGAAGGUUUUCGGAUCGUAAAACUCUGUUGUUGGAGAAGAACAGGGACUAGAGUAACUGUUAGUCCUUUGACGGUAUCCAACCAGAAAGCCACGGCUAACUACGUGCCAGCAGCCGCGGUAAUACGUAGGUGGCAAGCGUUGUCCGGAUUUAUUGGGCGUAAAGCGAGCGCAGGCGGUUUCUUAAGUCUGAUGUGAAAGCCUUCGGCUUAACCGAAGAAGUGCAUCAGAUACUGGGAAACUUGAGUGCAGAAGAGGGAAGUGGAACUCCAUGUGUAGCGGUGAAAUGCGUAGAUAUAUGGAAGAACACCAGUGGCGAAGGCGGCUUUCUGGUCUGUAACUGACGCUGAGGCUCGAAAGUAUGGGGAGCGAACAGGAUUAGAUACCCUGGUAGUCCAUACCGUAAACGAUGAAUGCUAAGUGUUGGAGAGUUUCCGCCCUUCAGUGCUGCAGCUAACGCAUUAAGCAUUCCGCCUGGGGAGUACGACCGCAAGGUUGAAACUCAAAGAAAUUGACGGGGGCCCGCACAAGCGGUGGAGCAUGUGGUUUAAUUCGAAGCUACGCGAAGAACCUUACCAGGUCUUGACAUCUAGCGCCAACCCUAGAGAUAGGACGUUCCCUUCGGGGACGCUAAGACAGGUGGUGCAUGGUUGUCGUCAGCUCGUGUCGUGAGAUGUUGGGUUAAGUCCCGCAACGAGCGCAACCCUUAUGAUUAGUUGCCAGCAUUUAGUUGGGCACUCUAAUCGGACUGCCGGUGACAAACCGGA
rnacentral:rRNA from 1 species